AGUCCACUUAAGCCUAGCUUAGUGUUGGGAAUCUACUUGAGCGGUGCUACCCUGUAGUUACCCUGUAGUUCCUUAAAGACAACGGCGGAGUUGUAAUACCCUCUGAGCUUAGUAAUUAUUCUAGCUUUCGAGUCGUUACUUCCCCUGCCGUAAAACCUUCUACUUCUGUAGUUUUUUAAU
rnacentral:misc_RNA from 1 species